rnacentral:rRNA from 1 species
UACGAAGGGGGCUAGCGUUGUUCGGAAUUACUGGGCGUAAAGCGCACGUAGGCGGAUACUUAAGUCAGGGGUGAAAUCCCGGGGCUCAACCCCGGAACUGCCUUUGAUACUGGGUAUCUCGAGUCCGGAAGAGGUGAGUGGAAUUCCGAGUGUAGAGGUGAAAUUCGUAGAUAUUCGCAAGAACACCAGUGGCGAAGGCGGCUCACUGGCCCGUAACUGACGCUGAGGCACGAAAGCGUGGGGAGCAAACAGG